GACGAACGCUGGCGGCGUGCUUAACACAUGCAAGUCGAACGGAAAGGCCUCUUUCGGGGGGUACUCGAGUGGCGAACGGGUGAGUAACACGUGAGUAACCUGCCCUUGACUUUGGGAUAACUUCAGGAAACUGGGGCUAAUACCGGAUAGGAGCUCCUGCUGCAUGGUGGGGGUUGGAAAGUUUCGGCGGUUGGGGAUGGACUCGCGGCUUAUCAGCUUGUUGGUGGGGUAGUGGCUUACCAAGGCUUUGACGGGUAGCCGGCCUGAGAGGGUGACCGGCCACACUGGGACUGAGAUACGGCCCAGACUCCCACGGGAGGCAGCAGUGGGGAAUAUUGCACAAUGGGUGGAAGCCUGAUGCAGCAACGCCGUGUGCGGGAUGACGGACUUCGGGUUGUAAACCGCUUUCGCUCAUGACGAAGCUUUGUGUGACGGUAGUGGGUAAAGAAGCACCGGCUAACUACGUG
rnacentral:rRNA from 1 species